rnacentral:rRNA from 1 species
GUAGGGGGCGAGCGUUGUCCGGAUUUACUGGGCGUAAAACGCUUGUAGGUGGCCACGCCAAGUCGGAUGUGAAAUCUCCCGGCUUAACUGGGAGGGGUCAUUCGAUACUGGCGGGCUCGAGGCAGGUAGGGGGAAGCGGAAUUCCCGGUGUAGUGGUGGAAUGCGUAGAUAUCGGGAGGAACACCAGUGGCGAAGGCGGCUUCCUGGACCUGUUCUGACACUGAGGAGCGAAAGCGUGGGGAGCGAUCCGGAUUAGAUACCCGGGUAGUCCACGCCGUAAACGGUGGGCACUAGGUGUCGGGGGUAUCGACCCCUCCGGUGCCGCAGCUAACGCACUAAGUGCCCUGCCUGGGGAGUACGGCCGCAAGGCUAAA